GAUGAACGCUGGCGGUAUGCUUAACACAUGCAAGUCGAACGGACUCUUCGGAGUUAGUGGCGGACGGGUGAGUAACGCGUGAGAAUCUGGCUUUGGGUUCGGGACAACCACUGGAAACGGUGGCUAAUACCGGAUGUGCCGAGAGGUAAAAGAGAAAUUGCCUGAAGAUGAGCUCGCGUCUGAUUAGCUAGUUGGAGAGGUAAAGGCUCACCAAGGCAGCGAUCAGUAGCUGGUCUGAGAGGAUGACCAGCCACACUGGGACUGAGACACGGCCCAGACUCCUACGGGAGGCAGCAGUGGGGAAUUUUCCGCAAUGGGCGAAAGCCUGACGGAGCAAUACCGCGUGAGGGAAGAAGGCUCUUGGGUUGUAAACCUCUUUUCUUAGGGAAGAACAAAAUGACGGUACCUAAGGAAUCAGCAUCGGCUAACUCCGUG
rnacentral:rRNA from 1 species